rnacentral:rRNA from 1 species
GAUGGGGGGACGCAGUAGGAUAGGCGAAGCGUGCUGUUGGAGUGCACGUCCAAGCAGUAAGGCUGAGUGUUAGGCAAAUCCGGCACUCAUAAGGCUGAGCUGUGAUGGGGAGAGGAAAUUGUUUCCUCGAGUCGUUGAUUUCACACUGCCGAGAAAAGCCUCUAGAUAGAUAACAGGUGCCCGUACCGCAAACCGACACAGGUAGUCAAGAUGAGAAUUCUAAGGUGAGCGAGCGAACUCUCGUUAAGGAACUCGGCAAAAUGACCCCGUAACUUCGGGAGAAGGGGUGCUCUUUAGGGUUCACGCCCAGAAGAGCCGCAGUGAAUAGGCCCAAGCGACUGUUUAUCAAAAACACAGGUCUCUGCUAAACCGUAAGGUGAUGUAUAGGGGCUGACGCCUGCCCGGUGCUGGAAGGUUAAGAGGAGUGGUUAGCUUCUGCGAAGCUACGAAUCGAAGCCCCAGUAAACGGCGGCCGUAACUAUAACGGUCCUAAGGUAGCGAAAUUCCUUGUCGGGUAAGUUCCGACCCGCACGAAAGGCGUAACGAUUUGGGCACUGUCUCAACGAGAGACUCGGUGAAAUCAUAGUACCUGUGAAGAUGCAGGUUACCCGCGACAGGACGGAAAGACCCCGUGGAGCUUUACUGUAGCCUGAUAUUGAAAUUCGGCACAGCUUGUACAGGAUAGGUAGGAGCCUUUGAAACGUGAGCGCUAGCUUACGUGGAGGCGUUGGUGGGAUACUACCCUAGCUGUGUUGGCUUUCUAACCCGCACCACUUAUCGUGGUGGGAGACAGUGUCAGGCGGGCAGUUUGACUGGGGCGGUCGCCUCCUAAAAGGUAACGGAGGCGCUCAAAGGUUCCCUCAGAAUGGUUGGAAAUCAUUCAUAGAGUGUAAAGGCAUAAGGGAGCUUGACUGCGAGACCUACAAGUCGAGCAGGGUCGAAAGACGGACUUAGUGAUCCGGUGGUUCCGCAUGGAAGGGCCAUCGCUCAACGGAUAAAAGCUACCCCGGGGAUAACAGGCUUAUCUCCCCCAAGAGUUCACAUCGACGGGGAGGUUUGGCACCUCGAUGUCGGCUCAUCGCAUCCUGGGGCUGUAGUCGGUCCCAAGGGUUGGGCUGUUCGCCCAUUAAAGCGGUACGCGAGCUGGGUUCAGAACGUCGUGAGACAGUUCGGUCCCUAUCCGUCGUGGGCGUAGGAAAUUUGAGAGGAGCUGUCCUUAGUACGAGAGGACCGGGAUGGACAUACCUCUGGUGUACCAGUUGUCGUGCCAACGGCAUAGCUGGGUAGCUAUGUAUGGACGGGAUAAGUGCUGAAAGCAUCUAAGCAUGAAGCCCCCCUCAAGAUGAGAUUUCCCAACUUCGGUUAUAAGAUCCCUCGAAGAUGACGAGGUUAAUAGGUUCGAGGUGGAAGCGUGGUGACACGUGGAGCUGACGAAUACUAAUCGAUCGAAGACUUAAUCAAUUUUUUAAA